GACCGGGACCGGGCGGCCGCUCUGUCGGGGGUCAGGUCGGGUCAGGCCGGGCCGGGAGAGCGUCGACUUCAGCCGCUGACCGACUGCAACGUUUGUUUUCCUUCCCCUCCCCUCCCCGCUGCCGAGAGACGCCGCUACCGACUCUCCAACACCGUUACCAGAUCUAAAUUUCGGGAGACUUCGGGAGAGGAAUGGAGAGCAGGGGAGAGACAAGACUUUGCCUUCCAUCACAGUGAGGAGGAGACGCGCUGUGAUGGAUGUUUGUGUAAAUUGUGUUGGUGUGUGUCUUGGUUCUUUUCUUGUAGGCCUGCAGAAACCAAAUUUCGUUUGAACCUCAUGUGAGGUUCAAAUGACAAAUAAACGGUAUUGUAUUGUA